GACAAAGCUCGUCGAAUCAUUGGUAAUCGCUACCGACAGUGAUUGCCUUAUAAAGUUUUCAAUAUAUCGUAAAACAGAUGUAUUGAUUGAUGCUAUGCAAGGUGAUCAAGUUCGUCGAAUUCGCGAAGCAAUCACGAAAACCAACGCCGAACGAUCCAACACUACAACCCGGAUUUCACAAAAGGAUGCUUUUCCUCCUGGCACGCCACAAACUUGGGGUUCCUUUCCAAUCCUACUCGGCUAUACAACCUGUAACAAAAUCAGAGAGAGAAAAACUUUCUAAGAUGGAGGUCUCCCGCUGAUACUGUUCGUCAUUACAAGUCGCAGGUGACAAAAUCCAACCUACCUCUCCCAAAGUUGUAUAUAAGUCAAUCAUAACCAAUGCCUCCUUAAUGUACCUGCUGUGCCGUAUCAACGCAAUUAACACUUUCCUUUCCACCACAAGCAUUUCAAUACCGAAAGAUGCAGCAGUAUUUGUCCUAAUACGACGAAUCAAUGGAUCCUACUUCCACAGGUGAAAUGAAGUCAACAAAUUCUUUGGCUCUUUCCAUGUGAAGUCACGGAAGAAUUCGGUUUCUCUUCUGGGACUUCACAAACGAAAAGCUCCGCUCCAAUCCUACCCGCCGACAAAAGUUCCAAAUGACCGAAACGGUGGAAGACUUUUCAAAACAAAGAAGGUUUACGUCCAAUGAGGUGCGUCGUCAGCUGCAGUUGAAUCACUUACUGGCCACGCACCCGGCAGUUGUCGGUAAGCCAACUAUGACGACGUUUGCCUGCCAUUGGUACUUAUCAUAUCGCUUCAUCACAACCAACACAUUCCUUUGUCCUAGGAGCAUACUGAUUUUGAAAGAUUCAUCAGCACUUGUUCUAUUGCUACAGUCCAAGAGUUCCUUCCCAGAGACCAUCUUCGAGCAAACUGACGAUGAAAAAUCCGGAGCUCCCUUCCACAUCAUCCGAAACCAACUAGUCUUUCUCCUGGCACAACACUCACGAAAAACCUUUCCAAAAGCGAUCCCACUAGGGGAAGAGAGCUGUAGCGAAUCGAAAGGUAAACAACUUUCCAAAACGUAGGUCUCUUUGACAAGAAUCUUGCUUCAAUAGCUAGAUCGAGUUCUGGUCGCCGAAUGUGACUCAAGUAUGACGUUCAUCACUCUCUCAACCCUUUGUACAGCAGUUGUUCAUAAGUUAACUAUUAUCUUUCUUUUUAUUUCAUACCUACUGUACCGAUUCAUCAUAACUAACACUCUUCGAUCGAUGUCAGAGUACUUUAUUCUUCUUAGGUCUGUAGUCAAUAUACUUCAGUUUCAAAUAUCGGCCAUUCCACCCGAACUGGGUCAGUCAUCUCUCAAAUAUUUACUCAAUUUGGCAUAUCGAUUGUCCACGGUAAGUUAGGAUUUCGUGCCGGAGGAUUUUUGAAUUAGUGUGAAUUUCGAUUCAUUAUUACCAAUCGAAGAAUUGAGCAGCUUUUACUUCAAAAAAUCAUAACUUUGUCGAAAAUUACGUUAGAUUCAAAAUCAAGUUAUAUCUUUGGAAUCAGCUGAGCUACAGUUUUCCUGGUGGAACAAUAAGGGGUCAAGUUGUGCGACGUCGUCGAAAUCAUAGAGAAUGCUUCGAAUUUUACGUCGACCGGGGUGCUGCGGGACGAUCGGCGGGGACCGUUUUUUACAUCGUCCUCACGUGCGUGAGAAUAGCAUGCCUGGUACUCCUUCCGAAAACGAAUGGAAAAGAUGCAUACUACCUAUUUUCAGUGGGAAUUAUGGGAAAUAUGUAAUGAAUAUAAUAUAUACGCGAGUGGGUUAUUUCACAUGAAUAUGGAUCGGGGGUUUCGGGACUAAUCUGGCCCGAGCACGAGACCCUAGUGUAUAAAGAGGAUAUUUCAUAUCGCAUAAAAGAUGUACCCAUUAGUCAUAAUCAUAUAUCGUAUAAUUAUGUAAGAACUCCUCAUUUUUUUUACAAUACAAUCAUAUUGCAAUUCAAUAAAGAAAUAAAUAUAUACAAUGAAAAAUAUCUGCCGCUUGGUACACACGAGUGUCCACUAUAUCAAAUUUGUUGGCGGUGUGUAGAAGCAAGGGAAAAACAAAAUAUACUUCUCCUAUAUAACAUCAUAUAACUCGUCACUGUAGCAAGCAAGCUUUGCACAAAUAUUAAAGACCAUUUGAUUCUAUUG